GAUGUGAGUGUGAUCUGGCUGCGACAUCUGUCAUCCCAUUGAUCGCCAGGGUUGAUUCGGCUGAUCUGGCUUGCUAGGCUGGUGUCCCCUUCCUCCCUCACCACUACAUGUGCGUCCCUCCCAAAGCUGUGCACUUGGUCAAAGAGGACGGUCUUUGGUCAAGGGUAUAUAAGCAGCUGCUCUCCCCUGCUAGAACUUCCAAAGAAGCUCUCAAGAUUCAGCAUCACUAUAUGAUACCAAAAAAUAAAAUAAAUAAAAAUGCUACACUAUAUCCAAUUAAACAUCAAGAUGUUUGUAAUAUUU
ensembl:misc_RNA 7SK 7SK RNA